rnacentral:lncRNA from 1 species
CAUGUGGAAGUUCCUGCAUCAGGGAUCACACCCAUAUCACAGCAGUGACAACGUGAUCCUUAACUUGUUGUACCACCAGUGAACUCCUCUACAUGAUUUGUUUGGAAUUCUUCUACCCUAGAUUUGUCUCUUCUUUCAUAUUUAUUUCUUUAGUUAGUUAGCUAAUUCUUUAUUUAUACCAGAAUGGACUCCUGAAUAUUUUGUUUAUACUUUGGAUCAUUGUCUAACAGUACUUUCUUCUCACAGCAAUGCUGGAUCCUUAACCCACUGAGUGAGGCCAGGGAUUGAACCUGCAACCUCAUGGUUCCUAGUCAGAUUUGUUUCUGCUGCACCACGACGGGAACUCCCAAUUUUUAAGUUUUAAUUAAUUUUAAUUUUAUUUAUUUAUUUGUUUAGGCCACACAGAUAGCACGCAAAGUUCUGUAGCUGGGGGUCAAGUUUGUGCUACAGCAGUAACCCCAGCCACAACAGUGACAAUGCUGGAUCCUUAACCCACUGAGCCAGCAAGGAACUCCUCAUUUUUCUUGCUCUUUACUCCCAAUCAGAUCACUUACAAGACUUGCUAAUUCCACCUAAAUCUCUCAGUCCUCCCACCCAUUUCCUCUAUUCCAUUGCUAUUAUCUUAGUUCAGACUACUGUAAACCAUUUCCUGGAUACUAUAGCUAUUUUCCUUCCCGAUUUUAUUUCUUUCUGUUUCAUUCACUUUACUAUAGCUACAUUUUCUCAAACACAAAUCUGAACAAGCCUUUUCAUGUUAAAAAAUUAUUUUUCGUUCAUUAUUACCUUCAAGAUAAAGUCCGAACUCCAAUUUUCAAAAUCCUUCAAGAUACGAUUCUUGCUUUCAUCUUUAGCCUUAUCUCAGACCUUAGGCAUCUGCCACCCUGAACUACAUUCUCUCUGUCUCUCCCCCACCUCUUCCUCCUCUUCUCCUCUCCUCCCUUCUCCGUCUCUCCCUCUCCCUGCCUUUGUCUUUCUGUAUGUUCUCCUCUGUGCCUGUAAUGUUAUGACUCUGUGACACCGUCUUCUACUUUGCUCCUGAUGUAUAUAUAUAGAUAGAUUUUUACCUGGCUAACUUUGGCUCAUUCCUCGCAUCUAAGUUUAGGUCUUAUUUCCUCUUGGCCCAUAAGCCUGAGAUACUCUCUACUUAUCCCUGUUACAGUGUUUAUCACCCUGGACUUUAAUUACUGAUUUACUUACCGGCCCCCACCUGACUCCAUGAAGUCAGAGACUUUUCAUCUUAUUUAUCAUUGUAUGUCUAGGAUAGGCAUUUCAAAGUAUCUAU